rnacentral:rRNA from 1 species
CCUACGGGCGGCAGCAGUGGGGAAUAUUGGACAAUGGGCGAAAGCCUGAUCCAGCCAUGCCGCGUGUGUGAAGAAGGCCUUCGGGUUGUAAAGCACUUUCAGUGGGGAAGAAAGCCUUGGGGCUAAUACCCUCGAGGAAGGACAUCACCCACAGAAGAAGCACCGGCUAACUCCGUGCCAGCAGCCGCGGUAAUACGGAGGGUGCGAGCGUUAAUCGGAAUUACUGGGCGUAAAGCGCGCGUAGGCGGUCUGAUAAGCCGGUUGUGAAAGCCCCGGGCUCAACCUGGGAACGGCAUCCGGAACUGUCAGGCUAGAGUGCAGGAGAGGAAGGUAGAAUUCCCGGUGUAGCGGUGAAAUGCGUAGAGAUCGGGAGGAAUACCAGUGGCGAAGGCGGUCUUCUGGACUGACACUGACGCUGAGGUGCGAAAGCGUGGGUAGCAAACAGGAUUAGAUACCCUUGUAGUC